GGUGAACGCUGGCGGCGUGCUUAAGACAUGCAAGUCGAACGGCAGUCUUCGGACUGUAGUGUCGCACGGGUGAGUAACGCGUAACUGACCUACCCCAAAGUCGCGGAUAACGACUCGAAAGAAUCGCCACUACGUUAUGUGCUGUCAGAUUGUGUUCUGGCAGUAAUGAUUAAUUGUUUUGGGAUGGGGUUGCGUUCCAUCAGCUAGUUGGUGGGGUAAAGGCCCACCAAGGCGACGACGGAUAGCCGGCCUGCGAGGGUGGCCGGCCACAGGGGCACUGAGACACGGGUCCCACUCCUACGGGAGGCAGCAGUUAGGAAUCUUCCACAAUGGGCGAAAGCCUGAUGGAGCGACGCCGCGUGAGGGAUGAAGGUCUUCGGAUCGUAAACCUCUGAAUCAGGGACGAAAGACACUUCGGUGGGAUGACGGUACCUGAGUAAUAGCACCGGCUAACUCCGUGCCAGCAGCCGCGGUAACAC
rnacentral:rRNA from 1 species